CGUACGCUGGCGGCACGCCUAACACAUGCAAGUCGAACGCAGUAGCAAUACUGAGUGGCAGACGGGUGAGUAACAUGUGGGAAUCUGCCUUGUGGUUCAGGACAACAUUGGGAAACCGAUGCUAAUACUGGAUAAGCCCUUACGGGGAAAGUUUUAAUGCCAUAAGAUGAGCCCGCAUUUGAUUAGUUAGUUGGUGAGGUAAUGGCUCACCAAGACAAUGAUCAAUAGCUGAUCUGAGAGGAUGAUCAGCCACACUGGGACUGAGACACGGCCCAGACUCCUACGGGAGGCAGCAGUGGGGAAUAUUGGGCAAUGGGCGCAAGCCUGACCCAGCGACGCCGCGUGAGGGAUGAAGGCCUUCGGUUGUAAACCGUCUUUCAGUAGGAAGAAGCGAAAGUGACGGUACCUAAGAAGAAGCACCGGCUAACUAUGUGCCAGCAG
rnacentral:rRNA from 1 species